rnacentral:rRNA from 1 species
UAAUACGAAGGGUGCUAGCGUUGUUCGGAAUGACUGGGCGUAAAGGGUGCGUAGGCGGUAAGAUGCGUCUGAUGUGAAAUCCCUGGGCUUAACCUAGGAACUGCAUUGGAUACGGUCUUACUAGAGUCCGCGAGAGGAAGAUGGAAUUGUGCGUGUAGAGGUGAAAUUCGUAGAUAUGCACAAGAACACCGGUGGCGAAGGCGAUCUUCUGGAGCGGUACUGACGCUAAGGCACGAAAGCGUGGGGAGCAAACAGGAUUAGAUACCCUGGUAGUCCACGCUGUAAACGAUGAUUAUUAGAUGUCGGGAGGGUUACCUUUCGGUAUCGCAGCUAACGCAUUAAUAAUCCGCCUGGGGAGUACGGCCGCAAGAUUAAAACUCAAAGGAAUUGACGGGGACCCGCACAAGCGGUGGAGUAUGUGGUUUAAUUCGAAGCAACGCGCAGAACCUUACCAACCCUUGACAUGGGACGUAUGAGCUUCAGAGAUGGAGUUCUUCACUUC